ACCUGUUCGUUUUACCUACUCAAGCCAAGCGCCUUGUUUCCCCCGCAGGAAUCCAUCUGGAGGCCAAGAGUGUCCCUGGUGGGAUUUCUCACCCUCCCAGGAAGGACUCAACUGCCCCAUCCCACACCAAGCGCCUGUCCUGCUGUCCCCCGGGUCCUGCAGAGCUGCCCGCUGUCGUCACACCUCGUGGAGAGCGGGGCUGCUGAGCCCUCGGUGUACACGGGACACAAGGGCCGGCUCCAGCUUCCCCAUAAACCAAAUCCCACAUUGCCCUCGAGGGCUCGUAGAAUCUGGGAAGAGACCGAAGAGGAAGAGAACAUUCAUUCUGAGAAAGGCCGUCCAGCUGCGUCAGCAAGCUGUGAUUUCCUCUUUUGAGCAAACCCUGUGCUCAGAGGGCGGGGCCCACAGUGAGUUAGUACAACAAACUGGCUCUCUGUGAGCCUGAAGAGGGAAUAUUUAUUUCGUUUUGACCCAGAUAUAUUUGCAGUCUCAUCGUACUGGUUACGGCAUGGCUCUGUCAUCUCUAGGAGUGUUCCAACAUCAACCAAGCCUGUUGGAGGCAGCCCCAGGGUGGAGGUAUGUUUCUCUCCCACAG
rnacentral:lncRNA from 1 species